AUUGAACGCUGGCGGCAUGCUUUACACAUGCAAGUCGAACGGUAACAGGCCGCAAGGUGCUGACGAGUGGCGAACGGGUGAGUAAUGCAUCGGAACGUGCCCAGUCGUGGGGGAUAACGCAGCGAAAGCUGCGCUAAUACCGCAUACGAUCUCUGGAUGAAAGCGGGGGACCGAAAGGCCUCGCGCGAUUGGAGCGGCCGAUGUCAGAUUAGGUAGUUGGUGGGGUAAAGGCCCACCAAGCCAACGAUCUGUAGCUGGUCUGAGAGGACGACCAGCCACACUGGGACUGGGACACGGCCCAGACUCCUACGGGAGGCAGCAGUGGGGAAUUUUGGACAAUGGGCGCAAGCCUGAUUCAGCAAUGCCGCGUGCAGGAAGAAGGCCUUCGGGUUGUAAACUGCUUUUGUACGGAACGAAACGGUUCGGGUUAAUACCCUGGGCUAAUGACGGUACCGUAAGAAUAAGCACCGGCUAACUACGUGCCAGCCGCCGCCGUAACAC
rnacentral:rRNA from 1 species